ACAUUUCGGUAACCGCUGCGCAUUAUGCGUAGAGGAAAGUCCAUGCUCGCACAGCCUGAGAUGGCUGUAGUGAUCGAGCUCGGCCAAUUCAUAAGCCGGGGUAGUUCGCGAUGCGGACUAACGGCAGGGAAAUGACCUACGUCGAAUUUUCGAUAUGGUCAGAUUACCUUGAAAGUGCCACAGUGACGAAGUCUGUCGAGAAAUCGACAGAGUGGAACGCGGUAAACCCCUCGAGCGAGAAACCCAAAAAUAGGUAGGGGCACCUUCUCAAAGGAAUGAAACGGAGAGAAGGACGGGAUACUUCAUAGUGUUCCGUAGACAGAUGGUUACCACCGGAGUACGAGGGAUAAUCCGUCCUGCUAGCAGUACGAAGGGACAGAACAUGGCUUACGAAA
rnacentral:RNase_P_RNA from 1 species